UGCCGUCUGGCUUCGGAGUUAGGGCUGUUAGGGCAGUGGUAGGCGGGUAAGCGGCAGAGUAAUCGGAUUAUUAGCGCCUACCAGAGGUAGCUUCUGCCUCGCUCAGUGUUGAUUUCCUAUAUGGCUUCCGAGCAGUCCUGGCCAAGUUGCUGCCACCACCGGGACCUGUGAGGACAAACCCCAAGGCGAGAUGCGGAGAUGGCAGUUCGAUGCGAGUGUUGAUAAAGCAUGCAAGUUGUCGCAUCAACUGGGCGCAGCGGGACGGCCCGCACGGUCGUCUCAAGCCGUCGAGCACGCGCGCUGCUUCAGUGCAGCCAACACAUUUGAGUUCGUUCAAUCAGUUAUGAGGUGACGGUGCCCAUUUGAGUGUGUGGAUUAUAGCUUCGGAACACGGUGUUGUUAAGCACCUAGCUCGGUACUGGUUGGUUGGCGAGCGAACCUUCGACGGGCGGACAUAGGGGGUUGGUGACCUGGUGCCUUGGCAGCCGACGUCAAUCUUACCUGCUUUACUAAAUAUCUCUAUGACGAGAACCCUUUUCGAUUGGGAAGCAGUAACCUCAACGUUCACGGCGUCCCAACCACUACCUACGUACGGGCCUGAAGCUACUGCGAAGCUUUGUAUUUACGUACCAGAUUCGAUUCAUCGGAUCCCCCGCCUAUCUCAGAUCCUGAAUAUUAAUCCCAAAUGUAGCUUUUUAAAUCUUCCAUUGAGUAGUCUCCAUCAUGUGGCAAAGCCGCGGCGACACAGGCUGCUUUAUACUUGUUUGACAGCACCACUCUAAGCGUUAUGGGUAAGAUUCCUGUGAAAAUAAUAGAUCAAAUUCAACUUAUGUUCAGCCUAGUAUGAAGGGUUGCGACUAGGCUUGUAUGGCAAGUACUGCGCAAAC
rnacentral:lncRNA from 1 species